rnacentral:rRNA from 1 species
UACGUAGGGUGCAAGCGUUAAUCGGAAUUACUGGGCGUAAAGCGUGCGCAGGCGGUUUUGUAAGUCUGAUGUGAAAUCCCCGGGCUCAACCUGGGAAUUGCAUUGGAGACUGCAAGGCUAGAAUCUGGCAGAGGGGGGUAGAAUUCCACGUGUAGCAGUGAAAUGCGUAGAGAUGUGGAGGAACACCGAUGGCGAAGGCAGCCCCCUGGGUCAAGAUUGACGCUCAUGUACGAAAGCGUGGGGAGCAAACAGG